AUGGCGUUGGAGUCUUCCAAAACAACAGCCCCACAUGUCUACCCAUUGGCCCCUGGCUGUGAUGGCACCACUGGCUCCACAGUGACCCUGGGAUGCCUGGUCAAGGGCUUUUUCCCUGAGCCAGCAACUGUAACCUGGAACUCCGGAACUCUGACCAGCGGUGUACACAUCUUCCCGUCCGUCCUGCAGUCUGGCCUCUAUUCCCUCAGCAGCUCAGUGACUGUACCUUCCAGCACCUGGCCCAGCCAGACAGUCACCUGCAACGUAGACCACCGGGCCAGCAGCACCAAGGUGGACAAGCCAAUUGCUCCUGAUCUCUUGGGCGGACCAUCUGUCUUCAUCUUCCCCCCAAAGCCCAAGGAUGCACUCAUGAUGUCCCUGGUCCCCAAGAUCACAUGCGUGGUGGUGGACGUGAGCGAGGAUGACCCAGAUGUCCAGUUCAGAUGGUUUGUGGGCAAUACAGAAGUACAAACAGCUCAGACACAGACCCAAGAGGAACAGUACAACAGUACCCUCCGUGUGGUCAGUACCCUCCCCAUCAAGCACCAGGACUGGAUGUCGGGCAAGGAGUUCAAAUGCAAAGUCAACAACAAAGCCCUCCCAGGCCCCAUUGAGAGAACCAUCUCAAAACCCAAAGGGCGAGCCCAAGCACCACAGGUACAUAUCUUUCCUCCACCCGCGGAGCAGAUGAACAAGAGAAGCCUCACUAUAACCUGCCUUAUCAUGGGCUUCUACCCUGAGGACAUCGAUGUGGAGUGGGAGAGCAAUGGGAAACAAGAGAAGAACUACAAGAACACCCCACCUGUCUUGGACACCGACGGUUCUUACUUCCUGUACAGCAAGCUCAAUGUGGAAAAGACCGGGUGGGACCAAGGAAACACCUACAGCUGCUCUGUGUCGCACGAGGCGCUGCACAAUCACCACAUGACGAAGACCAUCUCCCGGUCUCUGGGUAAAUGA